rnacentral:misc_RNA from 1 species
GAAGAAGCUGAUGACAACACCUCAUAAACACUAUAUGAGUUUAUCAGACCCUACACCCAAAAUUUAAAGGAGUAAGGGUAUAGUGAACUCAAAAUAUUUCAUCAAAACACAAAGCCUCAGAAAAAAUCCAAUAUGAUCAUAUGUAAUAUAGUUUCACCAAGUGGUUCUCCCUGCAAAGCAAGGUCUUGGAUCCACCACACCUCAUUAACAUGGACUAUAUCAUCAUAAGCACAAGUAUUUUUCCAAUGUAGCUGCUCCACAGUGUUACUCCAAACACAAUUGACAAAAAGGGGUUAUGAAAAGAGUAAAAAUACGAUAGAGCAACACAAAUAAUAUUGCUUCUAGGGAACGAGUUGAUCGAAAAUGGAUUAUGUUUCAA